AGGUGCGAUCAUACCAACACUAAUGCNCGAGAUCCCAUUAGNACUCCGCAGGGAAGGGUGCUUGGGCGAGAGUANUACUAGGAUGGGUGACCUCCUUGGAAGUCCUCGUGUUGUACAUU
rnacentral:rRNA from 2 species